GAUGAACGCUGGCGGCGUGCCUAAUACAUGCAAGUCGAGCGAACAGACGAGGAGCUUGCUCCUCUGACGUUAGCGGCGGACGGGUGAGUAACACGUGGAUAACCUACCUGUAAGACUGGGAUAACUUCGGGAAACCGGAGCUAAUACCGGAUAAUAUAUUGAACCGCAUGGUUCAAUAGUGAAAGACGGUUUUGCUGUCACUUAUAGAUGGAUCCGCGCCGCAUUAGCUAGUUGGUAAGGUAACGGCUUACCAAGGCAACGAUGCGUAGCCGACCUGAGAGGGUGAUCGGCCACACUGGAACUGAGACACGGUCCAGACUCCUACGGGAGGCAGCAGUAGGGAAUCUUCCGCAAUGGGCGAAAGCUUGACGGAGCAACGCCGCGUGAGUGAUGAAGGUCUUCGGAUCGUAAAACUCUGUUAUUAGGGAAGAACAAAUGUGUAAGUAACUAUGCACGUCUUGACGGUACCUAAUCAGAAAGCCACGGCUAGCUACGUG
rnacentral:rRNA from 1 species